CUGUUACUAGUUAAGUGGAUAACUGUUUAUUUUUUCUUUUGCAGAGGAGCUACCAUGUGUUUCUAGACUUAGAGCUGAGAGGAAUUGUCGUCACUGGAAGCAAAACCAAACUCAUCCUUCAUUGCCUCUCCCAGUGGUUUCUAUCCCACAGUCUGAAGACGCAGAAAGCAGUUUGGGAAGUGGUUUCUGC
rnacentral:lncRNA from 12 species